CAACAGUGUCUCUCGGGUCUCCGCCCUCGGCACCUCAUUGCUUUUCCCGCCCUUCCUUCAGCUGUGACUCUGAAAGGCGUGGAAAGGAGGACCCAUGACCGGCCGUUGCACUUUAGGCUCUGUGGCCCAGACACAGGGCGUGAUAAAGAGUGGCGGUGGAGCUGGGAAAGGUGAAUGUAGUACCCUUACGGGACGCAGCCCCGCCCCUGAGGCGAGGCUCGGCCCCACGCACUACAAUUCCCAGCAUGCUAUUCGUAUAAAGCCGGGGGCGGAGCAAAGUGUCGCCAUAGCAACGGUUCCUGAUUGUUUCCGAUUCGCUGCCCCAACUCUAGUAGGCUAAACCGACCACGGUUGGAGGGCCGCGGGAAAAAUGAGGCUGUGAUCAGGUCGCUGAGACCCUAAGUGAGAUUAUUGUUACUACUGUUAGUAGCGGCUCUGUCCAGAUACUACACUUGCGUUAUCAAUAAAACUCACUACAAUUUUAUGAGAAGUUUAGACCAAGUUCACCAGUAUUCACAUGAAGUACCAAAAGACUGCCAAGAAACACUUGAAGGACUAACUCAUAAUAUGUUAAUGGAAGUGGAAGGAAAGAAAGGAGACAGGGAGAGCUGAAGGGAAGCAAGGAGGCCACCAUGACACUUUAUAUCUCUGUGUAACAAAACUCUAAGAGGAUUUUCUUUCUUCUUGGACCAUGCCUUCACUUUCAGCCCUGAGCUUAUGAGAAAAAGACACUUUGGCCUUGCUUUGGGCCUAAUGCAGAGAUGUUCUUGUGGUUCUACCCCCAGCUUGGAGAGUAAGAAGUGACUAUCAGGCAGAAGCUCUGACCAGAAGAGUAAUGAAUGUGCGCUUCACUGGAAAUGGCUCUCUGUCAUCUCUCUCCAGAGAUGCUUACAGUAUAGCAAUAGGGAGUGGCCAUGGAUUUGAAAGUAAACAGACCAUCCUUAGAUGGUUGCUCUAAGUAUAGGAGGAAGAGUUGAGAGAGCCCUAGCAGACAUCAACAGGGCUGGUAGCAGAAUUUGGGAAAGUUCUAGAGGACUGUGCCAUUAUCCUAGGUAAGUUUAUGGGACUCAGUGCUCAGGAUACCUGGGGUCAGACACUUUCUGUGCUAAAAGGGGCUUCAUGUGCAUUCAUGGGAACAUCACCUGGUAAAGUAGUAACCCCAUUUAUAUGAACCAAGCAAGUGACCACAUUUAUGAAACUAUUGAUUGAUAG